rnacentral:sRNA from 2 species
UAGCGCCGCCCUCCUUGGGCGUUUCCUCCCUAGACUCGGGCCGCCUCUUUUGAGUGCGGCCCUUUUUUCUGGGGCGC